AGUGAACGCUGGCGGUAGGCCUAACACAUGCAAGUCGAACGGCAGCACAGUAAGAGCUUGCUCUUACGGGUGGCGAGUGGCGGACGGGUGAGGAAUACAUCGGAUUCUACUUUUUCGUGGGGGAUAACGUAGGGAAACUUACGCUAAUACCGCAUACGACCUACGGGUGAAAGCAGGGGAUCUUCGGACCUUGCGCGAUUGAAUGAGCCGAUGUCGGAUUAGCUAGUUGGCGGGGUAAAGGCCCACCAAGGCGACGAUCCGUAGCUGGUCUGAGAGGAUGAUCAGCCACACUGGAACUGAGACACGGUCCAGACUCCUACGGGAGGCAGCAGUGGGGAAUAUUGGACGAUGGGCGAAAGCCUGAUCCAGCCAUACCGCGUGGGUGAAGAAGGCCUUCGGGUUGGAAAGCCCUUUUGUUGGGAAAGAAAAGCAGCAGGUUAAUACCCCGCUGUUCUGACGGUACCCAAAGAAUAAGCACCGGCUAACUUCGUG
rnacentral:rRNA from 1 species